GCCUGGCUAGCUCAGAUGGUAGAGCAUGAGACUUUUAAUCUCAGGGUCAUGGGUUCAAGUCCCAUGUUGGGCA
rfam:Takifugu rubripes chromosome, Chr_21